UACAGAGGUCCCAAGCGUUGUUCGGAUUCACUGGGCGUAAAGGGUGCGUAGGUGGCGAGGUAAGUUUGAUGUGAAAUCUCCGAGCUCAACUCGGAAACUGCAUUGAAUACUAUCUUGCUAGAGGGUUGGAGGGGAGACUGGAAUUCUCGGUGUAGCAGUGAAAUGCGUAGAGAUCGUGAGGAAGACCAGUGGCGAAGGCGGGUCUCUGGACAGUUCCUGACACUGAGGCACGAAGGCCAGGGGAGCAAACGGG
rnacentral:rRNA from 1 species